rnacentral:rRNA from 1 species
GAUGAACGCUAGCGGCAGGCCUAACACAUGCAAGUCGAGGGGUAACAGGGAGAAGCUUGCUUUUCCGCUGACGACCGGCGCACGGGUGCGUAACGCGUAUACAAUCUGCCUUAUACUGGGGUAUAGCCUUUAGAAAUGAAGAUUAAUCCCCCAUAGUCUCUUAGAGUGGCAUCAUUUUAGGAGUAAAGGUUACAAAAUAAGAUGAGUAUGCGUUCUAUUAGUUUGUUGGUGAGGUAACGGCUCACCAAGGCUACGAUAGAUAGGGGCCCUGAGAGGGGGAUCCCCCACACUGGUACUGAGACACGGACCAGACUCCUACGGGAGGCAGCAGUGAGGAAUAUUGGACAAUGGAGGCAACUCUGAUCCAGCCAUGCCGCGUGCAGGAAGACUGCCCUAUGGGUUGUAAACUGCUUUUAUACAGGAAGAAACCGCUCUACGUGUAGAGCUCUGACGGUACUGUAAGAAUAAGGAUCGGCUAACUCCGUG